ensembl:snoRNA SNORD115 Small nucleolar RNA SNORD115
GGGUCAAUGAUGAAAAUCUUCUUGGUCAUGAAGCCGAUGAUGACAUAAAAAUCAUGCUCAAUAGGAUUACGCUGAGGCCC